CCUACGGGGGGCAGCAGUGGGGAAUAUUGGACAAUGGGGGCAACCCUGAUCCAGCCAUGCCGCGUGUGUGAAGAAGGCCCUCGGGUUGUAAAGCACUUUCAGUGAGGAAGAACGCCUGGUGGUUAAUACCCAUCAGGAAAGACAUCACUCACAGAAGAAGCACCGGCUAACUCCGUGCCAGCAGCCGCGGUAAUACGGAGGGUGCGAGCGUUAAUCGGAAUUACUGGGCGUAAAGCGCGCGUAGGUGGCUUGAUAAGCCGGUUGUGAAAGCCCCGGGCUCAACCUGGGAACGGCAUCCGGAACUGUCAAGCUAGAGUGCAGGAGAGGAAGGUAGAAUUCCCGGUGUAGCGGUGAAAUGCGUAGAGAUCGGGAGGAAUACCAGUGGCGAAGGCGGCCUUCUGGACUAACACUGACACUGAGGUGCGAAAGCGUGGGUAGCAAACAGGAUUAGAUACCCCAGUAGUC
rnacentral:rRNA from 1 species